rnacentral:rRNA from 1 species
UGGGGAAUAUUGCACAAUGGGCGAAAGCCUGAUGCAGCGACGCCGCGUGAGGGAUGACGGCCUUCGGGUUGUAAACCUCUUUCAGUAGGGACGAAGCGCAAGUGACGGUACCUGCAGAAGAAGCACCGGCUAACUACGUGCCAGCAGCCGCGGUAAUACGUAGGGUGCGAGCGUUGUCCGGAAUUACUGGGCGUAAAGAGCUCGUAGGCGGUUUGUCACGUCGUCUGUGAAAUCCUAGGGCUUAACCCUGGACGUGCAGGCGAUACGGGCUGACUUGAGUACUACAGGGGAGACUGGAAUCUCUGGUGUAGCGGUGGAAUGCACAGAUAUCAGGAAGAACACCGAUGGCGAAGGCAGGUCUCUGGGUAGUAACUGGCGCUGAGGAGCGAAAGCAUGGGUAGCGAACAGG